AGUUGCUUAGUGUUGGGAAUCUGCCCUGUAUUUAUAGGGCAGUUCCUUAAAGUGAUCGGCGGAGUUAGGGCAUACUCUAAGCGUAGUAAUAUUCUUCUCGCUUCUGUAGUUGUCCUGGCGGCUUGCCGUUAAACCCCUAUAUUUCUAGUGGUUGACCUCGGAUUAGGUAGGAAUACCCGCUGAACUUAAGCAUAUCAAUAAGCGGAGGAAAAGAAACCAACAGGGAUUGCCCUAGUAACGGCGAGUGAAGCGGCAACAGCUCAAAUUUGAAAUCUGGCCCUAGCGGUCCGAGUUGUAAUUUGUAGAGGAUGCUUUUGGUUAGGUGCCUUCUGAGUUCCCUGGAACGGGACGCCAGAGAGGGUGAGAGCCCCGUACGGUUGGACACCGAGCCUCUAUAUAGCUCCUUCGACGAGUCGAGUAGUUUGGGAAUGCUGCUCUAAAUGGGAGGUAAAUUUCUUCUAAAGCUAAAUACCGGCCAGAGACCGAUAGCGCACAAGUAGAGUGAUCGAAAGAUGAAAAGUACUUUGAAAAGAGGGUUAAAUAGCACGUGAAAUUGUUGAAAGGGAAGCGUUUGCGACCAGACUUUUUCCAGGCGGAUCAUCCGGUGUUCUCACCGGUGCACUUCGCCUGGUUUAGGCCAGCAUCGGUUCUCUUAGGGGGAUAAAGGCCUGGGGAACGUAGCUCCUUCGGGAGUGUUAUAGCCCCUAGCGUAAUACCCUUCGGGGGACCGAGGAACGC
rnacentral:rRNA from 1 species